rnacentral:rRNA from 1 species
CCUACGGGAUCAGCAGUGGGGAAUAUUGGACAAUGGGCGAAAGCCUGAUCCAGCCAUGCCGCGUGUGUGAAGAAGGCCUUCGGGUUGUAAAGCACUUUCAGUGGGGAAGAAAGCCUUGGGGCUAAUACCCUCGAGGAAGGACAUCACCCACAGAAGAAGCACCGGCUAACUCCGUGCCAGCAGCCGCGGUAAUACGGAGGGUGCGAGCGUUAAUCGGAAUUACUGGGCGUAAAGCGCGCGUAGGCGGUCUGAUAAGUCGGUUGUGAAAGCCCCGGGCUCAACCUGGGAACGGCAUCCGGAACUGUCAGGCUAGAGUGCAGGAGAGGAAGGUAGAAUUCCCGGUGUAGCGGUGAAAUGCGUAGAGAUCGGGAGGAAUACCAGUGGCGAAGGCGGCCUUCUGGACUGACACUGACGCUGAGGUGCGAAAGCGUGGGUAGCAAACAGGAUUAGAUACCCGAGUAGUC